rnacentral:rRNA from 1 species
UACGGAGGUGGCAAGCGUUGCUCGGAAUCACUGGGCGUAAAGGGCGCGUAGGCGGGAUGGCAAGUCGGUCGUGAAAGCCUUCGGCUCAACCGAAGAACGUCGGCCGAUACUGCCGUUCUUGAGGGAUGCAGAGGAGACUGGAAUUCCCGGUGUAGCGGUGAAAUGUGUAGAGAUCGGGAGGAACACCGGUGGCGAAGGCGGGUCUCUGGGCAUUAACUGACGCUGAGGAGCGAAAGCAUGGGGAGCGAACAGG